CCUACGGGUGGCAGCAGUAGGGAAUCUUCCACAAUGGGCGCAAGCCUGAUGGAGCAACACCGCGUGAGUGAAGAAUGGUUUCGGCUCGUAAAGCUCUGUUGUUGGAGGAGAACGUGCGUGAGAGUAACUGUUCACGCAGUGACGGUAUCCAACCAGAAAGUCUCGGCUAACUACGUGCGAGCAGCCGCGGUAAUACGUAGGUGGCAAGCGUUAUCCGGAUUUAUUGGGGGUAAAGGGAGCGCAGGCGGUUGCUUAGGUCUGAUGUGAAAGCCUUCGGCUUAACCGUAGAAGUGCAUCGGAAACUGGGCGCCUUGAGUGCAGUAGAGGACAGUGGAACUCGAGGUGUAGCGGUGGAAUGCGUAGAUAUAUGGAAGAACACCAGUGGCGAAGGCGGCUGUCUGGUCUGCAACUGACGCUGAGGCUCGAAAGCAUGGGUAGCGAACAGGAUUAGAUACCCUAGUAGUC
rnacentral:rRNA from 1 species